AUGGGAUUUCCCCAGUGCCAACUUCACACGAGAUGGCCGAAAAAGGACCAGAACUUUACAGAGGUAAACUGUGUCGGUUCUUUUACUAUUACAGCAGUUCAUCGUGGCCCUGUCGUUCGCCUCCUUCACCAAAGCUCUGUCAGGGACCUACAUGAAGAGUGCCAUCACUCAGAGAGACACUUUGACCUGUCCAGCUCUCUCAUCGGACUCAUAGACGGCAGCUUUGAGAUGGGUAACCUGCUGUUCCUGGCUGUGGUCAGCCAUUUUGGGGCGAAGCUGCACCGGCCCAGGCUCAUUGCUAUGGGCUGUUUCCUUAUGGCUGUAGGAUCCUUCCUCACAGGCCUGCCACACUUCUU